GACGAACGCUGGCGGCGUGCUUAACACAUGCAAGUCGAACGGAAAGGCCCUGCUCUUGUGGGGUGCUCGAUUGGCGAACGCGUGAGUAACACGUGAGUAACCUGCCCUUGACUUUGGGAUAACUUCAGGAAACUGCGGCUAAUACCCGAUAGGAGCUCCUGCUGCAUGGUGUGGGUUGGAAAGUUUCGGCGGUUGUGGAUGGACUCGCGGCUUAUCAGCUUGUUGGGGGGGUAGUUGCUUACCAAGGCUUUGACGGGUAGCCGGCCUGAGAGGGUUAACGGGCACAUUGGGACUGCGAGACGGCGCAGACGCGAACGGGAGGCAGCAGUGGGGAAUAUUGCACAAUGGGCGGAAGCGUGAGGCAGCAACGCCGCGUGCGGGAUGCCGGCCUUCGGGUUGUAAACCGAUUUCGCAUGUGACGAGGCGUGAGUGACGGUAAUGGGUAAAGAAGCAACGGCUAACUACGUG
rnacentral:rRNA from 1 species